GCCAGGAGCCAGCAGGAUAUCCCAGGCACCACAGCAGGAUGCAUCUGGGGUCCACUGGGCCCCAGCAGAGAGCUGACACCUGCUUGCCAUCAUGGAGGAGCCUGCCAUUAAGAGGCGCCUGAAGAUGAUUCAACUCAACACUUCAGUCUAUGAAGAUGUGGCCGGGUGUCUUCCAGUGCAGGAAUAUGUCUCGUAUACAUACCACUGUCAUAUCAAGUUCAAGGCCCUCAGGGUGCCUACAAGAAGGCCCACAUGGCUAUUCUAUGCUCUGGGCCAGCCCCUCAGGACUGCCCCUUCCAUGAAGAGAUGGAUUGGGUGCUGCAGAUCAAGAGAUGGAUGGGGUGCCCCAGCCCAGCCAACCUCAGGGAGCAGACCCGGCCAUGGGAUCUUGACCACCACAACCAGCUGACCCAGGGAAGAAAAAAAAAAGUCAUUAGCAGAAAGAUGGGCCAGAAGGGUGCUCUCCUCAGCAGCAGCAGCAGCAGCAGCAGCAGAGGCACCAGAACCAGAGGUGGAAGAUGGAGACAGAGCAUCAUUUCAAGCUAGAAAUGGAAGUGUUGGAGCUGCCCAGUGACCUCCGGCUUGAAAGCCCGGCUGGUACCCGGACCAGCAAGACAACCGAGAUGGAGAUUAGCCAGGAUGCCUAAGAAACUGGGCCAGAAGUCCAGAAGGGACCAGCCUCCAGACAGAAACCAGCCUCAGAGAGAAACUUCGUCAUCAGCUCCUGGGGUGUCUACAGUGCCCCCUAGAGCACAGGUGCCACCGAUGAACAGAAAAGACUGACCUAAAAUGCCUCGCUUUCCCUCCUCCCUGGUUCACCUCGAGAGGGACUUAUGUUCACCGAACUUGAACUUCAGGCUCCAAGUGGAGGCAGUUAACGGGAAGGUUUCAAAAGGAGUCAGAGGAAUCCCCUCCUGCCGUUUACCUAAAUUCGCCAAUUGUCUCCUUUUGCCCCGUUUGCCGGCCUUUACCCUCAGUAGGAGGGGCCCUCUCUCCCCCACCAGGCCACCCGGAGGUCUGUCCCGGCCACCCACUGAGGGCCCUGCAAUUCCAGGGAUGGGAAGUUGACUUUGACGUUAAAGAAGUUAAAGAACUGCAAAACCCUCCUCAGGAGGGAACAGAUUUC